rnacentral:rRNA from 1 species
UACGUAGGGUGCGAGCGUUAAUCGGAAUUACUGGGCGUAAAGCGUGCGCAGGCGGUUUUGUAAGCCGGAUGUGAAAUCCCCGGGCUUAACCUGGGAAUGGCAUUCGGGACUGCAAGGGCUGGAGUGCGGCAGAGGAGACUGGAAUUCCUGGUGUAGCAGUGAAAUGCGUAGAUAUCAGGAGGAACACCGAUGGCGAAGGCAGGAUCGUC